GGGGUUGUUUGGUUUUGACAGCGAGAGAUGUGGUAUGUAAGCAUGCAGUGCGUCAGUGAUUUGCACUAUAAUCUCAGUUACUGAACAAUUAUCUGGCAACGAAAAUUAUGCUCUCGCUGCUUAAUCGAAGUACAGUAGAUUAGCUUUAUUUCCGUCACAGUGAUGGAAACGAGACAUCGCUCAAAAGCUCUUGUUCCGAAGCGUUUGGUAUAGCGGUGCAGUAAAAUCGGGAAUAGUUUUGGUCUUGUUCCGCGGCCGGAAUGAAAUUUUAGGAACUAAGGCAUAAGUGGGUGGCUCUGGUCUUGCUUAUGCACGAAAACCGAAGGCAGAGAUAAGCAUGUAGAAAGCAUAUGGCUUCCUUGUUUGGACGAGGGUUCGACUCCCUCCAGCUCCACAA
rfam:Bacteroides coprophilus CAG:333 genomic scaffold, scf110